rnacentral:lncRNA from 10 species
CCCGCAAGGAGCAAAGAGAUUUUUGACUUUGUCUUCUUUUAUUGACAUUGAGGAGAAGCUUCUGACUCAGGCGAGCCUCACAAUAAGCUGUUUUUCAACUUCAGUAGACCCGGGCAGCUCACACCCAGCGUCUGUAACCAGCACCAGUUGUUUUCACCUUUGGGGGAUGUGUGCAUUUCUUUUUUUAUUUUCUGAAGUAAUGCAUGUUCAUUUUAACACAUUUAAAUGAGACCAAAAUAAAGUUACAAAGGAGUGCUUCCCCACCUUUCCUUUCUUCUCCUCCUCAGCAGGACCUGCUAAGGUGAGGUGUUCUGGAAGGGUCUCUGCUCCUAGCAGUCACUGGCAGCUUGCCCAAAUUGGAGAAGUUUAACAUCUCUUUUCUCUGAGAAGUAAAAUGUGUUUCUUUGGUGGAUGUGAAACCAACAAACCACUGUGGUGCCUCUCUACAUCUGAAGGAUGAGCCAGCCAAGCCAGGGGAACUGACGACCCCACACACGUCUGCACUGCUGUGGCCGUGUUGAACACGGACUCCUUCUUCAGGGCAGCCUUGGGCCAUCGGAGGGCUGCUGUAUGCAGUGACGGCCACCAAGUGUCCUUGGCCAGGGGAGUGAUUUACAGGGACUGAGAUCCUGACUUGUGACCCAGACACGAAUGCAUCCUUGUUCCAUUUUGUUAUUGCUCAACCGUCAUCUGGCCAUCCCCAAAGCCCACCUCUGUGAGAAAGGCCAGUGCUUGUCCUCGUGACACCCCUGAGACCUCGAUGGAGCAAGUCCCAGGGCCCAUCAUACAUUUUUAAAGAAAAUCUUCUUUUGGUGAGAAGAUCAAAGGGCCAGGCAGAAAUGGAAAAGCACUUUCUGGCAUCAGACUUCCUCUGACUUCUCCGGUUGCCACACCACUGAAAGACUGCCCCACAGUGCGAGGGACGUCCACAUCUGCCUGGCUCUCCGAGGGAUGAACAGCCUUCAGUUCAGCUUCCUGUCACACCCCAAAAUCCACCAGGGCUCUGCAGUCAUAGAGCCCUGGAACCCAGAGGUGGAAACUUAAAGGAAUGAGUGCUCUCUCGCUCCAAAACCACAGAUAUCUGGUCCAUAGAGAACCCACCACACUUGUAUACAUUUUCAUACGUCUGCGCACAUACACAAAUGCACAAACACAUGUUCAGCUGUUGAUAAUCAUCUGAUCUUUUGCUCUUUCGAUGUAAAUAUGGCCAGAUAUCUCUGGCUUUAAUUCUCAUUAAAAUUUUGAAAGUUAUACUUUCUAUACAAUAUACAUCAUGGAUGUCCAAUCUUUUGGCUUCCCUGUGCCAGAUUGAAAGAAGAAGAAUUGUCUUGGGGCCUGGCGUGAUGGCUCAUGCCUAUUAAUUCCAACACUUUGGGAGGCGGAGGUGGGAGGAUCACCUGAGAUCAGGAGUUCACGACUAGCCUGGCCAACAUGGUGAAACCCCCCCAUCUCUACUAAAAAUAUAAAAAUUAGCGAAGCAUGGUGGCACAUGCCUGUAAUCCCAGCUAUGCAGGAGGCUGAGGCAGGGGAAUCACUUGAUCCCAGGAAGCAGAGGUUGCAGUGAGCCAAGAUUGCACCAUUGCAUUCCAGCCUGGGCAACAGAGUGAGACCCAGUCUCAAGAAAAAAAAAAAAGAAUUAUCUUGGGCCACACAUACACACAUAAAAUACACUAACACUAAUGAUAGCUAAUGAGCUAAAAAAAAUUUCAAGAAUAUCAUAAUGUUUUAAGAGUUUAUGAAUUUGUGUUGGGCCACAUUCAAAGUCAUUGUGGGCUGCAUGUGGCCCGAGGGCCGCAGGUUGGACAAGCUUGAUAUACAUAUUAUGUAUAUUAUAUAUUUCUGUGAAAACAGAAUAAAUCCAAGACUGAGGAUCUAAUUCCAAAAUUCAUUUUUGUAGGCAUUCUGAGACUUAACUAUUUUUCUAGUCACAUAAUAAGGAAAGGAUCCUUACAGAAAUACUGAAAGCUCUUGGUUCUGCCUUUGCUG